UGGGGAAUAUUGGACAAUGGGCGAAAGCCUGAUCCAGCCAUGCCGCGUGUGUGAAGAAGGUCUUCGGAUUGUAAAGCACUUUAAGUUGGGAGGAAGGGCAGUAAGCGAAUACCUUGCUGUUUUGACGUUACCGACAGAAUAAGCACCGGCUAACUCUGUGCCAGCAGCCGCGGUAAUACAGAGGGUGCAAGCGUUAAUCGGAUUUACUGGGCGUAAAGCGUGCGUAGGCGGCUAAUUGAGUCGGAUGUGAAAUCCCCGAGCUUAACUUGGGAAUUGCAUUCGAUACUGGUUAGCUAGAGUGUGGGAGAGGAUGGUAGAAUUCCAGGUGUAGCAGUGAAAUGCGUAGAGAUCUGGAGGAAUACCGAUGGCGAAGGCAGCCAUCUGGCCUAACACUGACGCUGAGGUACGAAAGCAUGAGGAGCAAACAGG
rnacentral:rRNA from 1 species